AAAGUUGGUGAAAUAUUGGGAUUCAGAUAAAGGGAAAGUAUGUUCAAUACUUAGCUUACUGUGCAUGAAGCAAUAUUUAAUAUCUUAUUCAUAAUUAUAUAAUAAAUACAUACUCUUUGAAUGUGAGUGCAGGAUAUGUCAGAAUGCGGAAAAAAAAGCACGAGCCUCCCAAAAUCAGUUUCAUACAUCUGGCUCUAAAAGUUUUGCAAACCGACAAGCUGAUUAUGAAGAUGAACAUGGACAGAAAAUGAGCUUGUUAGAGCUGUGGAUUAAAACCCAUACGGGAUGAUGUUAAAGCUAAGGUUGAAGAGUUGAGGAUGAUGCACCCUAAGAUGUCUGAACAAGAGCUCGAAGAUGAAGCAUUUCAGCAAACUAUGUAUGGCAAUGAGAUUCCCGAUCGUCCUGUGGGUUACGGAUUAGGGGUUAAAAAAUGGGACAUUUUCGGAGUACGUGGUGUAUAAGGCCAUCAUCUAUGUAUUUUGGUUUUUAGUCUUAUAUUAGUGAUGUAUUUAUUUAGGGACAAGCUACUAUAUAUAUAUGAUAUACGACAUUUUUUUAAAAAUUUUAUUAAUUGUGUUGAU